rnacentral:lncRNA from 10 species
UUUUGAGCCAGAGUCUCGCUCUGUUGCCAGGCUGGAGCACUGAGACACAAUCUCGGCUCACUGCAACCUCCCCCUCCCGGGUUCAAGCGAUUCUCCUGCCUCAGCCUCUGGAGUAGCUGGGACUACAGGCGCCCGCCACCACGCCCGGCUAAUUUUUGUGUUUUUAGUAGAGACAGGGUUUCACCAUGUUGGCCAGGCUGGUCUCAAUCUCUUGAGCUCGUGAUCCACCUGCCUUGGCGUUCCAAAGUGCUGGGAUUACAAGCUUGAGCCACCGCACCUGGCCCACUUUUUUACCUUCUCAAAACCCCAACUCUCCUGUAAUUCCUGAAGCCCAGCCUCAACUGAAUAGCAGAGAGAUUUUGGCUUUCAUUCCAGAAUGAUGUCUCACAGAAAGUCAACUCGUGUUCCAGAAUAAUCUACUGGAAGUAGGAUUACCAAAUCAAAGAGUAUCAUCAUUUUCAAGACUUUAGUACCUAUCGCCAAGAAAGCUGUAUCAAUUUAUAUUCACAGUAUAUUAAUGUCUUUCUGAAACUGACUGAAUUGAUUAAUGUCAUUUAAAAAUCAUGCUAUCUUGUUAGGCCUCUGAUACUUUGUAUUUACUGGUAAGGCUGAAAAUUGUUUACAGACUAAUGAAACACAUUAUAUAUUAAGGUUAUUUAUUUUGUGCCUUAAUAUUUGAAAAAAUACAUCUUCUUAUCAGUUUGCUUUUUGUCCUUUUUGCUGAUUGUUUAUGAUCUUUUUUGACAUACAAAAAUUUUAUUUUUCUCUAUAUUUCAAUGUAUU